GGGCGUGUGGCCUAGCGGAUAGGGCGGGAGGUUCCUAACCCCCCGAUCGCGGGUUCGAACCCCGCCGCGCCCG
rnacentral:tRNA from 1 species